AUCCGGAGGGUGCAGGCGUUAAUCGGAAUUACUGGGCGUAAAGCGUACGUAGGCGGUUCGUUAAGUUAGAUGUGAAAGCCCCGGGCUUAACCUGGGAACUGCAUUUAAAACUGGCGGACUAGAGUUGAGUAGAGGGGAGUGGAAUUUCAGGUGUAGCGGUGAAAUGCGUAGAGAUCUGAAGGAACACCAGUGGCGAAGGCGACUCCCUGGACUCGAACUGACGCUGAGGUACGAAAGCGUGGGUAGCAAACGGGAUUAGAAACCCUAGUAGUCC
rnacentral:rRNA from 1 species